rnacentral:rRNA from 1 species
CCUACGGGAGGCAGCAGUGAGGAAUAUUGGUCAAUGGGCGGAAGCCUGAACCAGCCAUGCCGCGUGCAGGAAGACGGCCCUACGGGUUGUAAACUGCUUUUGUACCGGAAUAAACCCCCAUUCGUGAAUGGGGCUGAAUGUACGGUAAGAAUAAGGAUCGGCUAACUCUGUGCCAGCAGCCGCGGUAAU